rnacentral:rRNA from 1 species
CUACAUAGGGGGCAAGCGUUAUCCGGAAUUAUUGGGCGUAAAGGGUGCGUAGGCGGUCUAUUAAGUCUGAGGUGUAAGUGCAGGGCUCAACCCUGUGAUGCUUUAGAAACUGGUAGACUUGAGUGAGAUAGAGGCAAGUGGAAUUCCAUGUGUAGCGGUAAAAUGCGUAAAUAUAUGGAGGAACACCAGUGGCGAAGGCGGCUUGCUGGGUCUAUACUGACGCUGAGGCACGAAAGCGUGGGGAGCAAACAGGAUUAGAUACCCUGGUAGUCCACGCCGUAAACGAUGAGUACUAAGUGUUGCGAGAACGCAGUGCUGAAGUUAACAUAUUAAGUACUCCGCCUGAGUAGUACGUACGCAAGUAUGAAACUCAAAGGAAUUGACGGGG